AUUGAACGCUGGCGGCAGGCCUAACACAUGCAAGUCGAGCGGAUGAAGGGAGCUUGCUCCUGGAUUCAGCGGCGGACGGGUGAGUAAUGCCUAGGAAUCUGCCUGGUAGUGGGGGAUAACGUCCGGAAACGGGCGCUAAUACCGCAUACGUCCUGAGGGAGAAAGUGGGGGAUCUUCGGACCUCACGCUAUCAGAUGAGCCUAGGUCGGAUUAGCUAGUUGGUGGGGUAAAGGCCUACCAAGGCGACGAUCCGUAACUGGUCUGAGAGGAUGAUCAGUCACACCGGAACUGAGACACGGUCCAGACUCCUACGGGAGGCAGCAGUGGGGAAUAUUUGACAAUGGGCGAAAGCCUGAUCCAGCCAUGCCGCGUGUGUGAAGAAGGUCUUCGGAUUGUAAAGCACUUUAAGUUGGGAGGAAGGGCAGUAAGUUAAUACCUUGCUGUUUUGACGUUACCAACAGAAUAAGCACCGGCUAACUUCGUG
rnacentral:rRNA from 1 species